CUCCUCUAUUCUACUCGAACUUCUCUGUUUGGCUUAUGUCACUUAUGGCUUUGAAGAAGUAUGGGAUGAAGGAGAGGAGUGUUUCCCUGCAGGCCCUGUCUCUGUCGUGGAUGAAUGCGAAGUGGGUACCCAUGGUCUUCGUUCGUCAUUCUUUCAGGUGAAAAUCAGAAAGAAGAUAAUAGAUUAUUCAGGAAAUUGUUCAAUUUAUUGUCAGCAGAUCAUGUGUAUCAGAACUCAUAUAUGUACUUUACUUUGUCAGUUGAUUGUUUCAAUGUCAGCUGAGUACAACAGAAGUACAAGAAGCAGAAGCACAGAUCAUGUGAGAGGGUUCAUCGUCAGAUGAACAGGGCGUGGAAAUUGAAGGCUGAAUUGGAUAACGAUAGGAGUGUGACUCUGGAGCUUCAGUCCUGCUGUUGGUGAAGCUAAGCCAUUGGCAACAGUGGAAAGUGAUGUGCCCAACUGGUCAUAUUUUCCCUCGCCACUACAAUCAACCAGGUGCGAAAGAAACACCUGCAGUUGCGAUAGUUCUGAAAAUAACCUCUUCGAUGUCAUGGAAAUUGCUUUGAGCUUUGAUCAAGCUGAUGAAUGGAAUUUAAUUGAGAGUGAUUCUUCAUUAGCAGUGGGCGGGUGAAUAGAAAGGAGCACAUACCAUGGAAGCUUUUUUCUAUUUUGGACUGUAUUGAUAGGCUGGUUGUGGAGGUUAAUUGUGUGGGUAUUAGGCAUAUUAUAAGGGAAGGGAAUGGCAUGGCUAAUUGUCUAGAAAAGAGAGGUCCGGAUAGGGUGAUUGAUUCCAUUGUGGGCUUGCUUUUCAUGAUACAGAAAUUGUUUUGUUGGUUUCUGCAUUUUGGACUGCAUUUCACAUUUGUGACUGAGGAGUUGGUUACAUAUGCUUCAUGUUUCUGCGAUAUUGAUGUGUUUGCUUUAUUCAGGGUGUUGGGGAGUGUGUAGGUUUUGCUUGGACGGAAGUUUUGGCUUUUUGCUAAUUGUUUUGCUUUUUAUAUUCGUGACUGAGAAGCUGGUUAUAUGUGAUUUAUGUUCUGCAUUAUUGAUGUGGUUGAUAUAUUCAGGGUGCUGGGAGUGGGCAUUUUUGCUUGGACAGAAGUUUUGUUUUGGCAUAUUGUUCUGCUUUUUACAUUCGUAACUGAGGAGCUGGUUUAUGUGCUGUAUGUUUCUGCAAUUUUGGUGUGGUUGAUUAAUUCCGGGUGCUGGGAGUGCUCUGCAAAUUUUCGUUUUAAUUGCUUUGGUCACAUGGCCUUUGUUGGCGUUGUGUGCACAAGUGGCUGGAUGGUGGUAUUUUUAUGGGCAUGUUUUGGUGUCAAAUGUAGGGAGAUUGCAGGAUGCAUAGAGGCCUCUUCAUUUUAAUUGCUAGACUUGUAGCGGUGUAGCCUCUGAUGUUAGCAGAGAUGUGGCUUGGAAAAAUUGGUAUUGUUUGUAGAAUUUGUUGGCUGGUUAUGCUGUGUUUGUGGCAUGCAAUCACGGAUAAAAAAAUUCCAAAUGUUUAUAUGUUUUCUAUACAGUAAAGUCAACAAUCAAUGCAGUUCAUUGUAGAUAACUAUUUACCAUGGGUAUAUAAAUAUAUUUGGUCAUUUUAUAAGUGACAGAAUUAAAA